rnacentral:lncRNA from 1 species
CCUCAUUUCAUUGGCUCGAUGCAUGCUUGUGUUAUGGACCCUAGUUUUUCCUUACUAGUUAAUGGAUCCCCUACUACUUGGUUUAACCCAUCAAUAGACCUUAGACAAGGUUCCUCUUGUCCUAUUAUUUGUUCAUUCUUUGCUCUGACAUCCUUUCGAGAUUGUUGCAAUUAGCUGCGCAGCAUCAGUUAAUUAAUAAGGGCCUAUAGACCAGGGUGGCAGGGGCCUUCUAUCUCUCAUCUAUUAUUUGCUAAUGACCUCCUAUUGGUUGCCCGUGCGACC